GUGCCAGCAGCCGCGGUAAUACGAAGGGGGCUAGCGUUGUUCGGAAUUACUGGGCGUAAAGCGCACGCAGGCGGCUCGAUAAAUUAGAAGUGAAAGCCCCGGGCUUAACCUGGGAAUUGCUUUUAAGACUGUCGAGCUAGAAUCCAGAAGAGGGUAGUGGAAUUCCGAGUGUAGAGGUGAAAUUCGUAGAUAUUCGGAAGAACACCAGUGGCGAAGGCGACUACCUGGUCUGGCAUUGACGCUCAUGUGCGAAAGCGUGGGGAGCAAACAGGAUUAGAUACCCUGGUAGUCC
rnacentral:rRNA from 1 species